UACGGGGGGAGCAAGCGUUGUUCGGAUUUACUGGGCGUAAAGGGCGCGUAGGCGGUCAGCACAAGUCAGUUGUGAAAUCUCCGAGCUUAACUCGGAAAGGUCAACUGAUACUGUGCGGCUAGAGUGCAGAAGGGGCAACUGGAAUUCUUGGUGUAGCGGUGAAAUGCGUAGAUAUCAAGAGGAACGCCUGCGGCGAAGGCGGGUUGCUGGGCUGACACUGACGCUGAAGCGCGAAAGCUAGGGGAGCGAACGGG
rnacentral:rRNA from 1 species